rnacentral:rRNA from 1 species
CUCCUACGGGUGGCUGCAGUAAGGAAUAUUGGUCAAUGGACGAAAGUCUGAACCAGCCAUGCCGCGUGGAGGAUGAAGGUCCUCUGGAUUGUAAACUUCUUUUAUAUGGGACGAAAAAGGGACUUUCUAGUUCAACUGACGGUACCAUAUGAAUAAGCACCGGCUAACUCCGUGCCAGCAGCCGCGGUAAUACGGAGGGUGCAAGCGUUAUCCGGAUUCACUGGGUUUAAAGGGUGCGUAGGUGGGUUGGUAAGUCAGUGGUGAAAUCUCCGAGCUUAACUUGGAAACUGCCAUUGAUACUAUCAGUCUUGAAUACCGUGGAGGUCAGCGGAAUAUGUCAUGUAGCGGUGAAAUGCUUAGAUAUGACAUAGAACACCAAUUGCGAAGGCAGCUGGCUACACGAAUAUUGACACUGAGGCACGAAAGCGUGGGGAUCAAACAGGAUUAGAUACCCUGGUAGUCCACGCCCUAAACUAUGGAUACUCGACAUACGCGAUACACAGUGUGUGUCUGAGCGAAAGCAUUAAGUAUCCC